GCAGACACAUUCCAGCCAAUCAGCAGCAGACCCUCCCUCCCAGACCCUCCCACCUCCUGGACAGCAUCCAUUUUGAAGUUGCAUUCUUAAAUGGAUGCUGUCCAGGAGGUGGGAGGGUCUGGGAGGGAGGGUCUGCUGCUGAUUGGCUGGAAUGUGUCUG
rnacentral:miRNA from 1 species